rnacentral:lncRNA from 1 species
UGAAAUAUGACAUCUGUGAGAGUCUCCUGUUGAACGCCAGGCCUCUCUCAGUGUGCUGAACUCUGCCGCCACCUGCAAGACCCAAAGGCCCAGAGACUGUGGCUUGUGAGAACUUCUGACAGCAAAGGACACGAUGUAGCAGAGUUCUCAGAGCUUGUCAGAACAACGAGACGUAAGAGUUCUCCCUAGACUGCAUAUAUCAAGCAUGAGAGCUGCUGAUUUGGUGAUGUCUCAGCCCUGGAGGAACCAGAAGCAACUUAGAGUAAAAGUAAGAAGAGCAAAGGUCCCAGAAGACGAGCACAGCUCCAGACAGAGUAAAGGAGAGAAAUCUACCACCAUCUCCUUCCCAUGGCAAGCAAGCAUCCCCAAUAAAAACUGUGCUGGACCAGACAGCGACAAAUGUUUGAAAAUUUGG